rnacentral:rRNA from 1 species
GUGUUGCCUGCAAGGGCGUAUGGUGGAUGCCUUGGCAGACAGGACCGAUGAAGGACGUUUGAGGCUGCGAUAUGCCUCGGGGAGCCGCCAACAGGGCUUUGAUCCGAGGAUUUCCGAAUGGGGGAACCCACCGGCCGUCAUGGGCCGGUACCGCCGUGUGCGGGGGGUACGCAGGGAAGUGAAACAUCUCAGUACCUGCAGGAAAGGAUAUUCCGUGAGUAGUGGCGAGCGAAAGCGGAUCAGGCCAAACCUUGCGCGUGUGAUACCCGUCGGGGGUUGCGCGCGGGGUGUAGAGGGAUCGCGUUUGCCGGCUCCGACGGGCCGGCCGUCAGUUGCAUAAAACCAUGUGCCAGGGGAACCGGGUUGAAUACCGGGCCGCAGAGGGUGAGGGCCCCGUACCCGAACGCGCAUGGUCUGGCGAUCGCGUCUCCCAAGUAGCACGGGCCCCGUGGAAUCCCGUGCGAAUCUGUCCCGACCGUGGGAUAAGCCUAAAUAUUCCUGUCUGACCGAUAGCGAACGAGUACCGUGAGGGAAAGGUGAAAAGUACCCCGGGAGGGGAGUGAAACAGUCUCUGAAACCAUGCGCCUACGAACCGUCGGGGCCCUCUUGUGGGGUGACGGCGUGCCUAUCGAAAAAUGAGUCUGCGAGUCAGUGGCAUGUGGCGAGCAUAACCCGUGUGGGGUAUGCGUAGCGAAGGCGAGUCUUAAAAGGCGUUUGAGUCGCGUGUCCUGGACCCGAAGCGGGAUGAUCUAGCCCUGAGCAGGUUGAAGCGCGGGUAAGACCGUGUGGAGGACCGAACCCACCUGGGUUGAAAACCGGGGGGAUGACUUGGGGCUAGGGGUGAAAGGCCAAUCAAAUUCCGUGAUAGCUGGUUCUCUCCGAAAUGCAUUUAGGUGCAGCGUCGGAUCGAUUACAUCCGGGGGGUAGAGCGACUGGAUGCUUGCGGGCCCAUAUCGGGUACCAACAGCAACCAAACUCCGAAUACCCGUGAUGCGUAUCCCGGCAGUGAGUCGGCGGGGGAUAAGCUCCGUCGUCGAAAGGGAAACAGCCCAGAUCGUCGUCUAAGGUCCCCAAGCGUGUGCUAAGUGGGAAAGGAUGUGGAGUCGCAUAGACAGCCAGGAGGUUGGCUCAGAAGCAGCCACCCUUGAAAGAGUGCGUAACAGCUCACUGGUCUAGUGGUUCCGCGCCGACAAUGUAGCGGGGCUCAAGCACACCACCGAAGACGCGGCAGUAGCUUUGCUACUGGGUAGGAGAGCGUCCCAUGCGGGGCGAAGCGGCGGCGCAAGCCCGCCGUGGACCGCAUGGGAGUGAGAAUGCAGACAUGAGUAGCGAAAGACGGGUGAAGAUCCCGUCCGCUGGACGACCAAGGGUUCCAGGGCCACGUUCAUCGUCCCUGGGUGAGUCGGGUCCUAAGGCGAGGCCGACAGGCGUAGUCGAAUGGACGAACGGGUCGAUAUUCCCGUACCGGCAUGCAACCGGCAAAACCGAAUCCGCGAGUACUAACUUCCGGGUCCGGGCUCACGUCUCCUUCGGGAGCCGGAUGCCCUGGCCUGUUGGGACCGUAACGGUAGUAGGUCAGCGCGGGAGUGACGCAGAAGGGUAGCCGGCCGCGGAGGUGGUCUUCCGUGGUCAAGCACGCAGCCCGUCCCACAGGCAAAUCCGUGGGGCGCGUGGGCGAGGUGCGAUGAUGGGCGCCGCAGGGCGCGAUAUCCGGUGAUCCCGGCUGCCGAGAAAAGCUUCGGCGUGAGGCGGCAUGCCGCCCGUACCCCAAACCGACACUGGUGGUCAGGUAGAGAAUACCAAAGCGAUCGAGCGAAUCCUGGUCAAGGAACUCGGCAAAUCACUCCCGUUCCUUCGGUUUAAGGGAGACCCCCGAUGGUGAAGCGGCUUGCCCGCGGAGCUUUUGGGGGUGGCACAGACCAGGGGGUAGCGACUGUUUACCAAAAACACAGGAGCGUGCGAAGGCGCAAGCCGCUGUAUACGCUCUGACGCCUGCCCGGUGCCGGAAGGUUAAGAGGAUCCGUCAGGCCUCGGCCGAAGCGGUGAAUUCAAGCCCCGGUAAACGGCGGUGGUAACUAUAACCAUCCUAAGGUAGCGAAAUUCCUUGUCGGGUAAGUUCCGACCUGCACGAAUGGCGUAACGACUUCCCCACUGUCUCGACCAGGAGCUCGGCGAAAUUGCAGUACGAGUAAAGAUGCUCGUUAAGCGCAGAAGGACGAAAAGACCCCGGGACCUUUACUAUACCUUGGUAUUGGCAUUCGGUGUGGAUUGUGUAGCAUAGGCGGAAGGCUUCGAAGCCACGGCGCCAGCCGCGGUGGAGCCGCAAGGUGAAAUACCGCUCUGUUCGCAUUGGAUGUCUAACCUCGACCAGUCAUCCUGGUCAGGGACAGUGCCUGGCGGGUAGUUUAACUGGGGCGGUUGCCUCCCAAAGAGUAACGGAGGCGCUCAAAGGUUCCCUCAGCCCGGUUGGCAAUCGGGUGGCGAGUGUAAGUGCACAAGGGAGCUUGACUGCGAGACUGACGGGUCGAGCAGGGACGAAAGUCGGAACUAGUGAUCCGGUGCCGGUGUACGGACGCGGCAUCGCUCAACGGAUAAAAGGUACCCCGGGGAUAACAGGCUGAUCAUUCCCAAGAGUCCAUAUCGACGGGAUGGUUUGGCACCUCGAUGUCGGCUCGUCGCAUCCUGGGGCUGGAGCAGGUCCCAAGGGUUCGGCUGUUCGCCGAUUAAAGCGGCACGCGAGCUGGGUUCAGAACGUCGUGAGACAGUUUGGUCUCUAUCCUCUGCGCUCGUCGGAAUGUUGAGGAGGCCUGCCCAUAGUACGAGAGGACCUGGGUGGACGAACCUCUGGUAUGCCGGUUGUCACGCCAGUGGCACGGCCGGUUGGCUACGUUCGGAAGGGAUAACCGCUGAAAGCAUCUAAGCGGGAAGCCUGCUCCAAGAUAAGCAUUCCAUAGGACUACGGGUCCUUGAAGUCCCCAUGCAGAACACGUGGUUGAUAGGCCGGACGUGGAAGCCCCGCGAGGGGUGGAGCCGACCGGUACUAACGGACGAAAGGCAACACAAUCAUCCAACCCCGGUUGG